ensembl:lncRNA
GGAAACAAGUAUUUUAUCACAGCCAAGCCUCAAAAUAAGUGAGGGAAACUACCUGCAGUCAUUUUGUACCACACGAUACCAUGCAGAAGCAUUCAUAUUUACAUUGAAUGCGACCUCUUUUUCUUCCCUACUUGCCCCAGAAAUAAAACUCCUGAUCAAAAUAAAUGUGGAUUCGUAUUUGCUUUUGACAGAAGCCCCAGUCCAGCUAAGACUGGCAGCAAUUGGACGCCUGUGGCUGUGCAAUGCCCCUCGCCUACAUGGAGACUCCGGGCAAAGUCUGCACCCUCCUGCACAAUCAAUGUCUUCACAUUAAAGGUUUGUACUGCAGGAAACUAAUCUGAAAGCUAUCUUAAAAUCUUUUGUCUUAAAAUCUUUUUUUUUUCCUUUUUCAGGAGAAAAAAAAAAAGUGCAUAUUCAGAAGAGAAUUCUAAUGUAAGAAUUCUUCUGCUAGUAGUAAGACUUCAGCAACUUAAAGCUAUGUUGCACUGUGGAAAAAGUGAGAAUAUUGGCUCAUCUAUUAAGACAUCUCAGAUCUCAGCCCUUCUGAAUGAACAUUGAUCAAUGCUGUUUCUUAAUUUGAUGUAGUCUUUUUUUUUUCCCAUUAUUUUUUACAUACGUGAAAUUGAAAAAGAAAAAUUGAGCAGGAAUGAUCACAACCGAUUUACUGCCCUGGAAGAAGAAGGUGCCCUGUAUUACUUUGAUUUGUGAAAUCGUGCGUUUUAUAAAAAGCCACUUUUCACAUGUAAGCAAGAUCUUUCAAUAUUUCAGAAGACAAUGGCACAACCUCUGGAGAAUAAAGGCAUUGAAAGAAGUAGCUAAGAGGAAGACAAACACAGCACAGUUUGUGGGAAUUAGCACCCUUUACAAAGCCUAGAUGAGGGCAGAAACACACUGAAUCACAUUCUUCCAACGCGAUAAUUUUUACUCUUGUUCACACAACUGAAUAGCCAAUAAGCACGAAUCUCCUCCCGAACGCUUGCAGCCCGUUACGCAACGUAAAUUGGGCACAUAGGUAAUGAUUUCACGAUAUGAAGGAAGAGAAUGAUGUGCCUUGCUUGCUUGCUAGCCAAAAUGCAUUUCUGAGGCAGGAAAUCAAAAACACAUCCCAAGCCCUGCAAGUAGACUGCCCGCACUCGCCCUGCUGCCAUUAGAGGCUGUCAGGAGGCUGUCAGCUCCAGGAGCCACCGCCACCCAAGGCAAGGCUGCCCCGGUGCCUCCUCCCUGGGAGCGUGCUUUCUGAUCACCCUUCGCUAACAGACAGUGAGGAAAUAUUGCACUGCUGUUGCAGCUGCUUGGAGAACUCCUCAAAUACAGUGCAAACACCGCACUGAAACAAAGCAACGGGAGAAUGCUGCAGCAGAGACCUCAGCUGAGAGGCAAGAUGCAAGAUUUAUUAUGACACAGUGCAGAGGAUAUCUGAAAGGGAAGUCUAACCAAAGCAUUAAUGUGUCUUUUCCUCUUUCCUUCCCUCUUCCCCCUACCCCCCAUGUUAUUUUCCUUUGCAAUUCCUAUGUAUACAUACAAAAUUGUUUCUUUUCUCAAGUGAAACGGCAUCUAAAAUGAUGAAGAAUUUUAGGAGGUGACUGUUUCCUAAGAUCUUUUCUACUUGUUUUGUUCUGUGUUCCAGUGUUCUCUACCCACAGGACUCUGAAACGCUGAGAUUUCAGCAGUUCAUAUGUCUGCCUGCCCACCUCUUUUAUUAAAGGGUUGUGUUUCUCUUCUGUCAACACCUAUUCUUUAGCAUACAUCUCUGCUAUCAUUCAGGAAAAUGUUGGCAUAACAUUUUUUUUUUCUUUUUCUUUUUUUCCUUUUAAAUUCAUUUCUGUAGCCGGGCUUUUCCUUUUAAGUCUCCUUCAUUUCUGUCAUCGGUUUCAACCCCGAAGUUCUCACUUUUGCAAGACAAUGCGCUAUUUUCACACGUGUAAAACACUGAGCAAAGUGGAAUCGCAGAUGUCACAUUUACAUGUUUAUGUUUUUUGUUUCUUUUUUUUUCUCUGCCAGUCGCUCACUUCAACUCUCCAAGCCCAAGGUACUGCAGUGGAGCUGAGAUUCCCUGCGUUCCUGCAUGCAGACCUCCAGCUUUCUGAAACGACACUUCUUGGACUGAUUGGUCCAUAAAUCACUGUUAGUGGGAGAGACUUCUCACACUGUGGAUUUUCUCCAUGCGUCCUGACCUUUGCUGUGAUGUGACUUGUCAUAAUCCAGUAGAGAACAAAGUCUGCUUUGUGACAAACCAUUUCACUGACUCAGCAUGUGAAAUACGUAGGCAAGGACAUGGAAAGAAGAUGGUACACCACCGGGGAAUUCUAGCAGGGUGGAAAACCAUCCAGGACUCGUGACCUUGGUACCAUCUAGCCCAGACAAUUCCCUACGCUAUCAAUCUACAUGUAUUGUUUACUAUCUCCAGUGCAGCAGUGUGUUGUUUGGUGCAACUGCUGCCAGUCCCCAUUUCACCCCAGAUAAAUUCCCAUUCUGCUUCCCAUUCUGCACUGAUGGCCAGUAGAGGUGUCUGCAGAAUUUGGCACGUCUUCAAAAGCAAGUAAGAAGAGGGAAGCUCAGACAACCUAGAAGAUAGAGAGUGAGGACACUGGGACAGAGGUUUUCCUCUCCAAGAUGACACAAAGGAGAAAAAGACUUGACACAGAAGCAGCCAGGUCCUCAGCUCUAAGCAGGUUCACUGCCAGAAACCAGGCAUCAGGGAUUUUACACCGGAGAACUGUGUCAAUAUCUGUGUACUUAGUCACAUUUUCCUGUAAUAAAAAUCCAUUUUAGGCACUCUGAUUCUGAUAAUGUGGGAACUGGCACAUAAUUUAUAUUUCCAAAGCUGUUUUUUUUUUCCUGAUUCUGUUUCCCCAGCAUUUUUCAUGAGUAAAUCUCCUUUUUGUCUUUCAGCACUUUUUAUCUUUUAUUUUUUUCUUCUUUUCUUUUAACCACUGUUUCCAGUGUCCUUCUCCCUGGACUAUGCCCAGCCACAGUGGUCUGGGUUUGUAAUUAUGGCAAAAACUUGUCUCAUGACUAGGCGAUGACUAGAGAUAAUUCCCCAGAAGAAACACCUACAGAUGAAUGCCAUUUCUAUUCUUUUCCUCUCCUUUUGCUCGGAAUUGUCAGGC